UGAACGAUGAACCGCUUUCGGGCGGGGAUUAGUGGCGAACGGGUGAGUAACACGUGGGCAAUCUGCCCUGCACUCUGGGACAAGCCCUGGAAACGGGGUCUAAUACCGGAUAUGACUGUCCGCCGCAUGGUGGAUGGUGUAAAGCUCCGGCGGUGCAGGAUGAGCCCGCGGCCUAUCAGCUUGUUGGUGAGGUAGUGGCUCACCAAGGCGACGACGGGUAGCCGGCCUGAGAGGGCGACCGGCCACACUGGGACUGAGACACGGCCCAGACUCCUACGGGAGGCAGCAGUGGGGAAUAUUGCACAAUGGGCGAAAGCCUGAUGCAGCGACGCCGCGUGAGGGAUGACGGCCUUCGGGUUGUAAACCUCUUUCAGCAGGGAAGAAGCGAGAGUGACGGUACCUGCAGAAGAAGCGCCGGCUAACUACGUGCCAGCAGCCGCGGUAAUACGUAGGGCGCAAGCGUUGUCCGGAAUUAUUGGGCGUAAAGAGCUCGUAGGCGGCUUGUCACGUCGGUUGUGAAAGCCCGGGGCUUAACCCCGGGUCUGCAGUCGAUACGGGCAGGCUAGAGUUCGGUAGGGGAGAUCGGAAUUCCUGGUGUAGCGGUGAAAUGCGCAGAUAUCAGGAGGAACACCGGUGGCGAAGGCGGAUCUCUGGGCCGAUACUGACGCUGAGGAGCGAAAGCGUGGGGAGCGAACAGGAUUAGAUACCCUGGUAGUCCACGCCGUAAACGGUGGGCACUAUGUGUGGGCAACAUUCCACGUUGUCCGUGCCGCAGCUAACGCAUUAAGUGCCCCGCCUGGGGAGUACGCCGCAAGCUAA
rnacentral:rRNA from 1 species